rnacentral:rRNA from 1 species
AAUUACUGGGCGUAAAGCGCGCGUAGGCGGUUAUUUAAGUGAGGUGUGAAAUCCCCUGGGGCUCAACCUAGGAACUGCAUUUCAAACUGGAUAACUUGAGUAUGUCAGAGGGUAUUGGAAUUUCCCCGUGUAGCAGUGAAAUGCGUAGAUAUGGGAAGGAACAUCAGUGGCGAAGGCGAAUACCUGGGAUAAUACUGACGCUCGAGGUGCGAAAGCGUGGGGAGCAAACGGGAUUAGAUACCCUGGUAG